CAAUUCCUACAGACCGUGAGCAACUCGCUAGCAAACACACCUUUCAAAGGCAAGCCAGCCAAUCCACAGCCCAUGCCACAGCCCAACCACCUCCUGCCUCGGGCUCUCACACUCAGGACGAUUACCCACCUGCCCCCAUCACCCUAGGCCCAGGUGCCAGACAACAAGGGACAGCCCCCAGGCCGUAGAGCUCAGGGAAACUACUCAAACUGGCAGAUCCUAAACCUGCUUGCCUACUUCACUCAUCCUUCCUGCAGAAACCACAGUAAGAAACCACAGUAAAUGCUCUGGGCCCCACUUCCCUUCCCUCCCUCUGCCUUCCGACUGACCCUGAUGUUCCCUGUGUAGUCCCCCAGGAUGUAGCUGCCCUUGACUUGUGGGAACUCUCCUUGAAAACCACUAGUCUUGCAAUCAAAGUGAAAAGCAGCAGCCAAGCAGUUCCUGGAGGGAGCAGAUGGGCUUUGAGUUCCCCAGAAGCCCCAUUCUAAGAGAACUAUCAUUAUUUAACCUAUCUGAAAAAGCCUGCCAAUCCCCGUCCUCAACCAAGUUUUACUGCCAACGACUUUGUGUGACCUGAGGCUGGUCCCCUCCCCUCUCUGGGCCUCCCUUCCCAAAGUAAGGAGUGGAAAGGGUGUCCAGAGAAGGUGCUGGCCAGGAGCCCCCUGCCAAGGUCCAGAGCUGCACUUGCCGGACAAAGGUGUACUGAGCAUGAGCACCAGCUGCUGCCACCUAUAGGUCAGGAAAAAAGUGGCAGGCAGGAAGCUGCCUGUGUGAGGGACUGUCCCUGGCAGACCUUCAGGCCGCUGUCCACUUUGGUGGAGGGCUCCUAACUGAACUCUCUUCCCCAGCUGGUGCCACCGAUGAACAAAGUCUGGCUUUUGUACACCUUUGGGACCGAGAGACCACAGCUCCGAGGAGAAACCUAGCCUCCACACAUUCACUUCAGGACUAAUUGAAGGACUGCAAGCCAAUCACUCCUACAGAGAACUGGAGAGGGCCAUGUGCAUGUUUUUUCAAGGUCUGAAGGAAAAACAAGGAAAAAGCUUGUCAGCUGGGAAACCCGUCUAUAGUGCAGGAGUCCCCAUUUUCUACACUACUUCACGAGACUCGCCCACGUUGGUUCUGAAACUUUGCACUUUAAAACACCAGGCAAGCAGAUUUGUCACAGUUGUGGAAACCCAUAUGAAAACAAUGCAAUUAAAGGAGUCCAGUGAACCAAACCUUUGACCCUAGAGGUUCUCACAGGGAGCCUCUGCACCCAGCACUCCCAACCACGGGGAAGACCAGUGGAGGCUCACGCCCCUUCGAGGCACAAGAUUCACGCUGAAGAACUGUUGUCUAUGAACUUCCCAUGACACCCGAGUGCUGUGGAGCACGGCGUCUAUGUGCUGGCUGCAGCGAGCCCACCCAAGGGGCAGUCACCUGUGAGUGCUCCCACCUCAAACCCUUGCCUUGGUGGGGGGGUCUAACUGCCAUCCCCCAGGGAUGUGCCCUGAGCAGGACCUGGAAGGAGUGAUGCUCUGACACCGCUGAGCCUGGAGAGGAUCUGAAGCUUUGCCACCAACCGGGAAGGAAGUGUGGGUGAGACCGCUGAGUGAUGAGAGGCCACGUGGAGAGGCCAUGGAGGACGCGAGGCCAGCUUGGACACAGAAAGCAGCCCCAGGACAUCCUAUGUGAGACCAGCAGACACACACCCAGCCGAGUUCUAGCCAACCCCCAGAACUGCGAGAAAUGAGGCUGCAGGGAUUGAAAUCUCCCUUUCUGGACUAACUCUUCAAGGCAAGGAAGAGCUCAGUAGUCUGGGCCAAGUUUUUUAUGUGGUGUCAAGAGCCUCCUACUUACUUCAUCAUCUUCAUCUUCAUCAUCGUCAGACUCAAGAACACCAUCCAGUAGCUCUUCUAAAUAAAGAAAAAAUAAACGAAUGAAUAACUGCAAACACAGCAGGGAGCUUGGCCGCGAGAACCCUUUCAGCUGCUACAGAGAAGAGAAUGAGGAGGUACCAGAACAAUCAGGCAGGUUCCUGUGUGGGCUGUGCCCACACAGCCACAGACUCAGAUCAUCCCAGGCAACUUAAAUCUCUCUCCCCCUUUGUACCAGUACGCAUGGGCAGUGGCAUGAGAAAGGUUAAAAGCUAGCAUACAAAUCUGAGAAGAAUUUAGAAGAAAGAAAGUCAACAAGUACUGCUAGGCACCAUGCUGGAUACUGUGCCUUGUGUUGUUUAUUUACUCCUUACAA